GAUCUCACUAGUGAUUUCUGGUUGAUCCCGGCAGAGGCUACUGCUAUUGGGAUUCGAUUAAGCCAUGCGAGUUGAAUGAAUUUAGAUUCAUGGCGUACGGCUCAGUAACACGUGGAUAACUUACCCUUAGGACUGGGAUAACUCUGGGAAACUGGGGAUAAUACCGGAUAUUAGGCUAUGGCUGGAAUGCUUUGCCUUUGAAAUGUUUCUUGUAUUCGCCUAAGGAUAGAUCUGCGGCUGAUUAGGUCGUUGGUGGGGUAAUGGCCCACCAAGCCUAUGAUCGGUACGGGUUGUGAGAGCAAGAGCCCGGAGAUGGAACCUGAGACAAGGUUCCAGACCCUACGGGGUGCAGCAGGCGCGAAACCUCCGCAAUGUACGAAAGUGCGACGGGGGGAUCCCAAGUGUUAUUCUUAAUAGGAUAACUUUUCAUUAGUGUAAAAAGCUUUUAGAAUAAGAGCUGGGCAAGACCGGUGCCAGCCGCCGCGGUAACACCGGCAGCUCAAGUGGUAGCUGUUUUUAUUGGGCCUAAAGCGUUCGUAGCCGGUUUNGAUAGUCUUNGNUGAAAAGCUAUGGCUUACUGUAGGAAUGCUGAAGAUCUGUCAGACUUGAGUCGGAAGAGGUAGAGUACUACGGGGGUAGGGUGAAAUCCUAUAUCCUGGGAGGANCCUGUUGCAAAG
rnacentral:rRNA from 1 species